rnacentral:rRNA from 1 species
CGGUAGCUAAAUGCGGAAGAGAUAAGUGCUGAAAGCAUCUAAGCACGAAACUUGCUCCGAGAUGAGUUCUCCCUGACUCCUUGAGAGUCCUGAAGGAACGUUGAAGACGACGACGUUGAUAGGCCGGGUGUGUAAGCGCAGCGAUGCGUUGAGCUAACCGGUACUAAUGAACCGUGAGGCUUAACCUUACAACGCCGAAG